GGGAAACUGAGUGUGUGGCCCGUGGGAUUGGGAUCAGACGGUGGAGAAAGCAAAGUCCAAGUGACCGUUGAGGAUGUCGGUGAAAUAUGACCGUUGGGGAGUUGGUGUCCGGACGGGUGUGCAUGUACAUGGGGCAUUUUUAUCCUUUUACUUCUCUUUAGUGAAUCACAUGAUGUGCACAUGCCUGCCGCCCGAUGAAACCAGAAACCC
rnacentral:misc_RNA from 1 species